CUUAAUACUUUUAAAUGUUUCUUUCUGUGUAGUUGCUGCAGUCAAAAAGAAGCCCAGAGUAACAAUUUUACGUGAUGGUCGCUGUUCUGUUUGCUGUAACUGAUCUGCAACAUUUUAGGGGAAAGACAGUU
ensembl:snoRNA